rnacentral:tRNA from 1 species
AGCUGAAUGGCGCAGCGGAAGCGCGCCGGGCUCAUAACCCGGAGGACGCCGGAUCGAAACCGGCUUCAGCUA